rnacentral:rRNA from 1 species
UACGGAGGGUCCAAGCGUUAUCCGGAAUCAUUGGGUUUAAAGGGUCCGUAGGCGGUUUUGUAAGUCAGUGGUGAAAGCCCAUCGCUCAACGGUGGAACGGCCAUUGAUACUGCAAGACUUGAAUUAUUGGGAAGCAACUAGAAUGAUGUAGUGUAGCGGUGAAAUGCUUAGAUAUUACAUGGAAUACCAAUUGCGAAGGCAGGUGCUACCAAUACAUUGACGCUGAUGGACGAAAGCGGUGGGG